rnacentral:rRNA from 1 species
UGGGGAAUAUUGGACAAUGGGCGAAAGCCUGAUCCAGCCAUGCCGCGUGUGUGGAGAAGGUCUUCGGAUUGUAAAGCACUUUAAGUUGGGAGGAAGGGCAGUAACCUAAUACGUUGCUGUCUUGACGUUACCGACAGAAUAAGCACCGGCUAACUCUGUGCCAGCAGCCGCGGUAAUACAGAGGGUGCAAGCGUUAAUCGGAAUUACUGGGCGUAAAGCGCGCGUAGGUGGUUUGUUAAGUUGGAUGUGAAAUCCCCGGGCUCAACCUGGGAACUGCAUUCAAAACUGACAAGCUAGAGUAUGGUAGAGGGUGGUGGAAUUUCCUGUGUAGCGGUGAAAUGCGUAGAUAUAGGAAGGAACACCAGUGGCGAAGGCGACCACCUGGACUGAUACUGACACUGAGGUGCGAAAGCGUGGGGAGCAAACAGGAUUAGAUACCCCUGUAGUCCCUGAGCGGGCUGGCAAGGCGCAU